CAUUAGGGUUUAACAAAUUGAAUGCCCGCUCUCUCUUACUCUCCAGCUCUCUCUCUUAUUCUGCUACUCUUGAAAUCUGUCUUGCUCGAUCUUUCUUACUCGAUCUGUCUCGCUCAAUCUCCCGCUCGCUCUCUCUUACCGACUGAAACCCCAUUGUUGUUGGCGUCUCUUCCAACUCACCCACCUCUGUCGGAAGCAACAAACACUAACAAUGUGAGAGAUCGGACGCCCCCACCCCACUAGCUUCAUCUCCCCCUCUCGCUCGCUUUCUCUUACUCUCUCCGUCCUCAUCGUCACCGUCUGAAACCCCAUUGUUGCCAGUGACGAGCUCUUUCUCUCUCUCUCUCUCUGUAUUUUUUAACCGAUCGCGUCUCCUCUUGCUAUCGGCGAUGAGGUUUGAUAUCCAACAGAAGCAAGAACCCGAGAUAUCCGAAGUGGUCAAUACUCAAUAGCAUGAAAGAUUUGAUUGAUUACACUUGAGAAACUAGGCCUGGACCGAUGGGUUAAUUUCAUGGUUAUGCAAUGGUUUGUGCCAAAUGAAUGAUCUUAAUCAAAGUACCCUCACUAACUUAUUAAUAUAUUCAUCGGAUUGCGUUGCCUCCAAUGUAAGACACAUGCUAACAGGUUACAUGCUUGCUCCAAGUAUGCUGCCAAUUAUUAUGCCACCAUCGGGUGCUGCUCCCUUUCCUGUUCAAGUUAAUAGCCUCCCAAGGCCACCAACAAUGACUGCAGGACCAGCCGCAGUUCCAGGGGCCCCCAUGGCUAAUUCUAGUAGUUCUACCCCUCCUAUGCAUCAGGUUAAUUCAACCCCAACUACCAGUGGAGGUUUUGACAGUUCAACAUGAGUGCUCAAGCUCCUGAGGCCAACCAUUAGUCCUGUCAACCUUGUAUGGGUUUUUCCGUUAGAUCUUGUAAAAUCGUGCAACUAUAGCACUAUUGACAUUUGUGGAACGUGAACAAUUGUUUUGAUGUUUGCUGUUAGUAUUUUGGUCAAGAUUAUACUUAAAAUCAAUAUUUAAUACUACUUUUUUAUCAGGUAA